UACAGAGGGGGCCAGCGUUAUUCGGAAUUAUUGGGCGUAAAGGGCGCGUAGGCGGCCAUGCGUGUCUUCCGUGAAAUCCCUCGGCUUAACUGAGGACGUGCGGAAGAAACUGCAAGGCUCGAGUCCGGGAGAGGGGGGGUGGAAUUCCCAGUGUAGCGGUGAAAUGCGUAGAUAUUGGGAGGAACACCGGUGGCCGAAGGCGGCCCCCUGGACCGGUACUGACGCUGAGG
rnacentral:rRNA from 1 species